GGAGUGAACGCUGGCGGCAGGCCUAACACAUGCAAGUCGAACGGCAGCACAGGAGAGUUUGCUCUCUGGGUGGCGAGUGGCGGACGGGUGAGGAAUACGUCGGAAUCUGCCUAUUUGUGGGGGAUAACGUAGGGAAACUUACGCUAAUACCGCAUACGACCUACGGGUGAAAGCGGAGGACCUUCGGGCUUCGCGCAGAUAGAUGAGCCGACGUCGGAUUAGCUAGUGGCGGG
rnacentral:rRNA from 1 species